rnacentral:rRNA from 1 species
GACGAACGCUGGCGGCGUGCUUAAUACAUGCAAGUCAACUUGACUUUAGAUAGCAAUAUCGAAAAGUAGGGUGGCGCACGGGUGCGUAACGCGUAGGUAAUCUGCCCUGAGGUCUGACAUAACCCGUCGAAAGGCGGGCUAACAUCAGAUGAUAUAUAAUCACGACAUCGUGGAAAUAUCAAAUCUUCGGAGCCUUGGGAUGAGCCUGCGUCUGAUUAGGUAGUUGGCGGAGUAAUAGCCCACCAAGCCUACGAUCAGUAGCUGGUCUGAGAGGAUGAUCAGCCACACUGGAACUGAGACACGGUCCAGACUCCUACGGGAGGCAGCAGUAAGGAAUAUUGCUCAAUGGGGGAAACCCUGAAGCAGCAACGCCGCGUGAAGGAUGAAAUAC